CCUACGGGAGGCAGCAGUAGGGAAUCUUCCACAAUGGGCGAAAGCCUGAUGGAGCAACGCCGCGUGCAGGAUGAAGGCCUUCGGGUUGUAAACUGCUUUUAUAAGCGAGAAAUAUGAUGGUAACUUAUGAAUAAGGAUCGGCUAACUACGUGCCAGCAGCCGCGGUCAUACGUAGGAUCCGAGCAUUAUCCGGAGUGACUGGGUGUAAAGAGUUGCGUAGGUGGCAUAAUAAGUAGCUAGUGAAAUCUGGUGGCUCAAACAUUCAGACUAUUAGCUAAACUGUUAAGCUCGAGACCGUUAGGGGUAACUGGAAUGUCUAGUGUAGGAGUGAAAUCCGUAGAUAUUAGACGGAACACCAAUAGCGUAGGCAGGUUGCUGGGACGGUUCUGACACUAAGGCACGAAAGCGUAGGGAGCAAACGGGAUUAGAUACCCGGGUAGUC
rnacentral:rRNA from 1 species